rnacentral:misc_RNA from 1 species
GUCUGUCAUAGUCGCAGAGGCGAUGACCCAUGGCCAUGUGUUGUCUGUCACAGAGUCAAGAUGGGAGCUAUGGAGGGACAUGCAAAAUUGGAUAAGAGGGGAUGAGCAAUUGGAUAAGAGGGGAUGAGCAAUUGGACAAGAGGGUAUGAGCCAGCCACGCACCAAGAACCGAAUCGAGAGGAAUUGGAGAAGAAGGGGUGGUAGCGAGGGUGAGGGAUUUUAUCGGCAACGAAGUAGGAGGAGGAAGAGGAAGGGGAAAGGAUAAUAAGAAAAGGAAGGGAGGGAAACGAACAGAAAAGGAAGAAGAGGAGGAAAAAGAUGAUGAUCACAUGAAGCCCACACACGGUAAACAGAGGGACCUUCGAUAAUUAAGCUAAAAAAUAAGGAAA